CGAUGGUGUUCGGUCUUGAAUGGAAUUGUAGUCUUAGGCUAGUCUUAGGUUUUUGAACAGGAUAGUAGGUAUCCGGAGUCGAUUGAGGGCCAGAGCAGGCACUGGGGUUCAGAUUCUGGGCAAAGUUCCCCACGUUGAGGGUCUCGAGGACGCCUAGAUCUCUUUCCCAGGGCCAUGGCGAACCCGAAGCUGCUGGGACUGGAGCUAAGCGAGGCGGAGGUGAUCGGUGCUGAUUCGGCGCGAUUUGAGGAGCUGCUGCUGCAGCUGUCAUGCAUAAGAAUUGCUCCAUUUGAGGAACAAAUGAGGGGUCUGAUGGCACAGACUCCAAGCCUGGAGGUAGUUUUCCUUUAUACAGGCCUCGAAGGAGCUCCAGCAAGCCCAGACAACCAGACCAGAAUCGACACAAAUCCAGCCUCAGCCUGGUUUCUGCAUAAAGACCAACUCCUCAGAAGGGAAGGUUUUCAUCAACAUCUGCCACUCGUCCUCUAUCCCUCCUCCUGCCGACGUGACCGAGGAGGAGCUGCUUCAGAUGCUAGAGGAGGACCAAGCUGGGUUUCGCAUCCCCAUGAGUCUGGGAGAGCCUCAUGCAGAACUGGAUGCAAGUCAGUGCCCUCAGAGGACCCAGGAGUCUGGCCCACUAGGCCCCUUCUUCCCUAGAACCCAAGAAUCCUGGGCCCAGGACCCUCCUCCCUCAGCUCCUGAAGAUCUGGCUCCUCGAUCUGAUUCUUUUCUCUAUGGUAGAUCUCUAGUGCCCUGGACAUCCCACACCUGGGCAGUCCUGGUUCUGCCACCUGGCCAGGCUGGUACUUUUCGAUGCCCCACUCCAGGGCUGGGAGGCCUGGGCAGAGUGCUCUUCGUGCAUUAGCGGAUCUCCUGGCUUUAGUCCUGAGCCCGCUCUCUCCUUUUUUCUUUUCUUUUUUUUUUUUUGAGAUGGAGUUUCGCUCUUAUUGCCCAGGUUC
rnacentral:sRNA from 1 species